rnacentral:lncRNA from 1 species
UAAGCAAACCAGGAAACGGAUCUUAAACUUCCGAACAAAGCAAUCCUCUCAAGCGAAAUACUCACACUCAUUUCAAACACAAAAUUUUAGCCAAACCAAGAAAAAUACUUCACCCCCAUAAACACACAAAAUUUAACCGAACCACUGAACAAAAACUCAUAUUUUGGUUUAUUUCUAUAUAACAAUAUUAUACAGUUUGAAACAAAAGUAAGAGAAGAUACAUGCCUUUCCGAUGCGGGUGAAGAUGGUGUGCUGUCGUCUCUUUGAUCAGUCUUGUUAAAAUGGGUUUGAAUAUCCUUUAGCUAUGGAUAUGGGUUUGAUGGAUUUGAGUUUGCUGAAUGGGUUUGAUGGAUCUGAGUUUGCUGGAUCUGGGUUCGAUAGAUCUGGGUUUGUUAUGGGUACGAUUUGAACAACUCUAUCUUCUACCUUUCUCGUGUUUACCGAUUUUUUAGAAAAUUCCUCCUCUGUCUCUAUCUUUCUCUUGUGGUAUUUUCUUUUCCUUUUUAUAUGAAAAUUAUUUAUGUGUGAAUGAUAACGUAUCUUUUGAAACAAUAAUGAUAAAAAUAACAUAAAAAAUGAUAUAGAAAUAGGAUAGACCUCACCAUCUAAACUUCCACAAUCAAGAUUUAGGUCAUUUACAGACAAUGUAUGCUAGUUUUUUUUCCCCAAAAAUUAUAUUUGAAUAUCAAAAUGGAAUAUCAAAUAUUGUGUUUAUUUGUUUUGUGGGAUAUUUUUGAAAUCUGUGUACAUAGGAUGCGAAGUAAGUUAGAUAGAAGUAUAAGGUGUCAUAUACAGUGUCCCAAUUCUGAUGUUCAAAUAACACAAUUGUUUAGUCUUUAACGAGUUUUAGAUUUAUAUAGUGCUAUAUUUUAUGGAGUAUUAGUUAACUGAACACGUUAUUCCGUUACUUUCUUCAUGCACAACAUGAUUUUCAUUAUAAGAAUCCAAGUAUAGACUUUGAGUUGUUUUGGACCUUGAUUUGAACUUAUGUGCAGGAUGAGAAGCCAACCAACUGACAGUAAGUUAACAUAAUCUGUUCAGAUGAAGGGGAAACCAUUCCCAUUCCACAGAAGAGCAACUGUUGUGGAUAGCUAGAACUUGUAUAUUUCUCUCUUUUUUAACUGUUAUAGUAAAAUAGUGAGACCCUGUUUUCUGAUACUGCUAAAAUAUCAUCUAUUAAAUCCUUGGAUAAUAUAGUUCUGAAUUUUUUGGCGGC